GGAGUUAGCCGGUGCUUCUUCUGUGAGUGAUGUCCUUCCUGCCGGCUAUUAACCCGCAGGCCUUCUUCCUCACUGAAAGUGCUUUACAACCCGAAGGCCUUCUUCACACACGCGGCAUGGCUGGAUCAGGGUUGCCCCCAUUGUCCAAUAUUCCCCACUGCUGCCUCCCGUAGGAGUCUGGGCCGUGUCUCAGUCCCAGUGUGGCUGAUCAUCCUCUCAGACCAGCUACGGAUCGUCGCCUUGGUGAGCCGUUACCUCACCAACCAGCUAAUCCGACAUAGGCUCAUCCGAUAGCGCGAGGCCCGAAGGUCCCCCGCUUUCCCCCGUAGGGCGUAUGCGGUAUUAGCCUGGGUUUCCCCCGAGGUUAUCCCCCACUACCGGGCAGAUUCCUAUGCAUUACUCACCCGUCCGCCGCUCGCCACCAGGGAGCAAGCUCCCCGUGCUGCCGCUCGACUUGCAUGUGUUAGGCCUGCCGCCAGCGUUCAAUCUGAGCCAGGAUCAAACUCUGA
rnacentral:rRNA from 1 species